rnacentral:rRNA from 1 species
GAUGAACGCUCGCUACAGGCUUAACACAUGCAAGUCGCGGGGCAGCAUGGGGGUUGCUUGCCAUCCCCGAUGGCGACCGGCGCACGGGUGAGUAACGCGUAUCCAACCUGCCCUUCACCACGGGAUAACCCGGCGAAAGUCGGACUAAUACCGUAUGUUGUCCAUUGACGGCAUCCGAUUUGGACGAAAGGCUUGGCGGUGAGGGAUGGGGAUGCGUCCGAUUAGCCAGACGGCGGGGUAACGGCCCACCGUGGCUACGAUCGGUAGGGGUUCUGAGAGGAAGGUCCCCCACACUGGAACUGAGACACGGUCCAGACUCCUACAGGAGGCAGCAGUGAGGAAUAUUGGUCAAUGGGCGUAAGCCUGAACCAGCCAAGUAGCGUGCAGGAUGACGGCCCUAUGGGUUGUAAACUGCUUUUAUGCGGGGAUAAAGUGGCCCACGUGUGGGCUUUUGCAGGUACCGCAUGAAUAAGGACCGGCUAAUUCCGUG